rnacentral:rRNA from 1 species
UUUGAUCCUGGCUCAGGAUGAACGCUAGCGGCAGGCCUAACACAUGCAAGUCGAGGGGCAGCGGGUGUAGCAAUACAUGCCGGCGACCGGCGCACGGGUGAGUAACGCGUAUGCAAUCUAACCCUUUACAGUGGGAUAGCUCAGGGAAACCUGAAUUAAUACCGCAUGAGACUACACGAUGGCAUCAAAGAGUAGUUAAAGUUUUAACGGUAAAGGAUAAGCAUGCGUGACAUUAGCUAGUUGGUGAGGUAAUGGCUCACCAAGGCUACGAUGUCUAAGGGGUCUGAGAGGAUGAUCCCUCACACUGGUACUGAGACACGGACCAGACUCCUACGGGAGGCAGCAGUGAGGAAUAUUGGUCAAUGGGGGCAACCCUGAACCAGCCAUGCCGCGUGAAGGAAGACGGCCCUAAGGGUUGUAAACUUCUUUUGUACUGGGGUAAAAGUAGGUUUGCGAACUUACGUGAAAGUACAGUACGAAUAAGCAUCGGCUAACUCCGUGCCAGCAGCCGCGGUAAUACGGAGGAUGCGAGCGUUAUCCGGAUUUAUUGGGUUUAAAGGGUGCGUAGGCGGAUAUUUAAGUCAGUGGUGAAAGACUGUUGCUUAACGAUAGCAUUGCCAUUGAUACUGAGUAUCUUGAGUAUAAUUGAGGUAGGCGGAAUGUGUAGUGUAGCGGUGAAAUGCUUAGAUAUUACACAGAACACCGAUUGCGAAGGCAGCUUACUAAAUUAGAACUGACGCUGAGGCACGAAAGCGUGGGGAUCAAACAGGAUUAGAUACCCUGGUAGUCCACGCCGUAAACGAUGAUCACUGGAUGUUUGCAAUACAUAGUAAGCGUCUGAGAAAAGCA